UACGGGGGGGGCAAGCGUUGUUCGGAAUUACUGGGCGUAAAGGGCUCGUAGGCGGCCAACUAAGUCAGACGUGAAAUCCCUCGGCUUAACCGGGGAACUGCGUCUGAUACUGGAUGGCUUGAGUUUGGGAGAGGGAUGCGGAAUUCCAGGUGUAGCGGUGAAAUGCGUAGAUAUCGUGAGGAACACCAGUGGCGAAGGCGGCAUCCUGGCCUGUAACUGACGCUGAGACGCGAAAGCGUGGGGAGCGAACCGG
rnacentral:rRNA from 1 species